UAUUCCUUGCCACAUCAUCCAACCGCGUGGCUUUCUCAAGUCCGAGUAGCCAACUUUGGCUAUGAGUUCCUGCUCUCAGGCGGGCCCCACACUCAUUGCUACAGGAAAGAGGGGCGAGGGGCGAGGCAGCCAACGGGGAGAGGAGCGGCGGCGCCGCGGGGCAGGUCGCCGGCGAGCUCGAUCUGCAACCGGCACCGUCGCUACUAGGGCCACCCGAUGUUGUCGUCGCUGCUCGGGCCGUCCCUCCACCCGGCGCCUCCGUCGGGACGGGGUCGACGUUGUUGCCGCUGCUCGGUACGGGGGGCGCCAGAUCUGAGUGCUGGUAGGAGAGGAGGCGGCGGGGUCGUCGCCGCUGCAUGCCGCCGGUGGGAGGAGAGGAGGGGGCGGGGGCUGGGGGGUCGUCGCCGUGUGCCGCCUCGUCGUCCCAGCGCCGGCGCUGCCCUCGCCGCCGCGCUCUGCCGACGGGUGUCGAAACAAGAAUUCGGCAAUAAUAAAAGGGGGUAGCGCAUGAGACCUAAAAGUGGAUGGGUGCGGAGACAAGGAUUUAGACAGGUUCAGGCCCUCUCAAUGAGGUCAGGACUAAGGCAAGCCAAAGAACCACAAUGAAGGAAAUGGAAUCUGACCGCCAUACUUGUUUGAAUAAAAAAAAAGGUGGUCUCAAGUUAUGCAUGGGUAAUUUAGGUUAUGUUUCUUGCACUACAAUUACGUAUAUGCUACUCUGACUUACUAACAAAUCAUGUAUACGAUAACUCAGAGUUUUGCUAUGUGAGCCAAAGGACUGAAGAGAUGAAGUUCUCAAAUUUGACUUCUAUGGACAACCUGCUUAAAUGAAAAAUGGCAGUAUUGUUAUAGCAGCCACCGUUAGAAGCACAAACACAUCACGGGUUGGUGCUUGGCGUGGCUGGUGAUGACGGAAUUGUGGCGAGAUCAAUAUAUGUUUGUGAUCAAUAAUUCUUAUAAGAGGUAAUUCUCACAAGUACUCACAAGUAAAUCUAAAUUACUCAGAAAGAUAUUUCUAUUGAAAAUAGAGUAAUUAACAGAAUAAAAUAAACAUGAGAGGAUUACCGACAUCUCCGAAAUUCCUCCGAUUUCUUCUACUCUACUCUCUUCCUAAUUCUAGUAUACAAAAUAGUACAACAGAGCCUCUUAUAAUUCAGCUCAAGCUUGGAAGUGUGUGAAGAAGCGAAUGAGUGAAACUCCUUAAAUAGGCAGUUAAUGACGGUUGUGGAACGAGAAUUGUCCGAAGUGCCCUCCAACCGCCAUUAGGAUCAAAUCAGGAGCGUCCCUGCCAAACCCCAGGAUCAACGGUGGAGAUCAGGGUUCUGGGCUGGCCCAUCUGGCCCUCAAUUUUGGCCUGUGGACUCCUCCUGUUCUGCUUUAUCCAUUACUGUGAGUUUUGGGCUGAUUCUCUGGUAUUUUAGUAAAGUGUAAAGCCCCUCCCUUGUAUGGAUAUGUUCCUUCUUCACUUUAGACUGAUUUUUCUCCCAACUUCGGUGGUUUAGGACCUGCAUCAAUUAAACACCAACACUCGUGGAAUAUGUUAGAAUUAACACCUACCACUAUAUUGGAUGUUUUAUUAUAUGAGUUUUAUGCAAAUGCUGGCGGUAUAAAAAUGUGUAUUUAACAGCCGCCAACAAUCGGGAUUUCUCGAGUCCUAGUUGAUUUCUAAGCCUAAUUGGACGUGGGAAAGACCAUGGGAAGUAAGUCCACCCCUAAUAUAAAUAUAAGGGGGACAAGUUCGAUUGAAACAAUAACCACUCAAUCGUCAAACUCAAUUUAGUUAUCCAAACCCUCUAUAUUCUACAUCUCCCUCCUUGCUUCCAAUCCCAAGUAAAUUCUCCCCAAAUCCCCUAAUUGCUCGCCGCCUCUCGUCUCUACGGUGUUAAAGGACAUCCUAGCUGGCCUGCCGAGUCUAGCACAAACCAGAGCGCAUUCACCCUAACAGGGUCCCUCCUGGGUGUGUGUUCGGCAGCCUCUACCCACACCCUACAGCGGCACGUCUCCGGGUGAUUCCGCGGGUUGCACAUAACAUGCUCAAGUUGUGGCGGCGCGAUUCUACAUCAACAACAUGCACAUGCGUGAUCUACCUGUACAGGUACACAUCAACCAGUGACUGUUCUAGCCAGAAUCCACAAAGCAUAGAUGUUAACAACAAAAUUUGGUAAGAUACGUGGACAUAAGGAUGGAUCCGAAGCGGAUUUGAAGGAGUUAGUUUGGUUUCCAAAAUGAAACAAUGCAUCUGCUGGAGUCUGUAUCAGUCGAUAUAGAGUUGGAUUUGAUUAGUCGAUACAUACGAUUUCGAGUUCAUGAUGAGUUCGGAUUGAGGAUUCAGAAUUAUUGCCAUACAAGGAUAGAGUCCAAAGAAGCAAUUGCAUCUAUUAAUUAGGAUAAGAGUAAGCUUUCCUUUUUGUGUUUUAGAAAUCUAUAUUAGCAUCCACAAUGGGCUGGUGUGUUUAUUUUGUGAAGUUUGAAUCAUGUCCGAUAUGAACAAGUUUUGUACUACGAGUAUAAAUAUAUGCCCAGGGUCUUGUAUGAAGAACAACAACAGUUCAAUAUACUCUCAGUGCAUCGCCAAACUUUUUGUUUUCAAUUUUCUCAAUGAGUUCUUGUUUCGAGUUGGGGCAUCUUCUUCGAUCUUCCGAUGAGAGAUUCAAAAAGGAAGAAGGAAACCGAAGCGGAUUUGGUGUGGUAUCAAGUUUAUCUCCAAGACGGACUAAGCAUCAGCUAAAAAUUGGACAAAGGCUUGGCUUGGCCGGUACGAUAUAACUUGGGCUCGGCAUGGGCCUAGAUCAGGAUAACCGGCAUUGCCAAUCAGAGAUAGAGCUCAUGUAAGGCAAUUGUAUCUAUUAAUUAGGAUAGUUAUGUCAGUUUGUUAGAGAUUUGGUAAGAGACCACCGUAUAUGGUCUUGUUUGUAUUUUAUCUUUAGAAAGGUUCGAGUCGUGUCCAUAAUGGACUAAGUUUGUAUUCGGGGUAUAAAUAUGAACCCCAUAGCAUUGUAAUACGGGAGAUAAUCCAAUACAACUUUGGCGCAUCA